UCAGACUACUAGGGGUGCCCGGAUUGGCGGGCUGAGAGAAAAACAGUUGGUUUUUCAACCCUUUGGACCUGAUCCGGAUCAUGCCGGCGUAGGAAAGUAGGGAUUUGUGAAA
rnacentral:ncRNA from 2 species